UACGGGGGGAGCAAGCGUUGUUCGGAUUUACUGGGCGUAAAGGGCGCGUAGGCGGUCAGCACAAGUCAGUUGUGAAAUCUCCGAGCUUAACUCGGAAAGGUCAACUGAUACUGUGCGACUAGAGUGCGGAAGGGGCAACUGGAAUUCUUGGUGUAGCGGUGAAAUGCGUAGAUAUCAAGAGGAACACCUGCGGCGAAGGCGGGUUGCUGGGCCGACACUGACGCUGAGGCGCGAAAGCGUAGGGAGCGAACAGG
rnacentral:rRNA from 1 species